GGGUUGUGAGGUUAAGCGACUAAGCGUACACGGUGGAUGCCCUGGCAGUCAGAGGCGAUGAAGGACGUGCUAAUCUGCGAUAAGCGUCGGUAAGGUGAUAUGAACCGUUAUAACCGGCGAUUUCCGAAUGGGGAAACCCAGUGUGUUUCGACACACUAUCAUUAACUGAAUCCAUAGGUUAAUGAGGCGAACCGGGGGAACUGAAACAUCUAAGUACCCCGAGGAAAAGAAAUCAACCGAGAUUCCCCCAGUAGCGGCGAGCGAACGGGGAGCAGCCCAGAGCCUGAAUCAGUGUGUGUGUUAGUGGAAGCGUCUGGAAAGGCGCGCGAUACAGGGUGACAGCCCCGUACACAAAAAUGCACAUGCUGUGAGCUCGAUGAGUAGGGCGGGACACGUGGUAUCCUGUCUGAAUAUGGGGGGACCAUCCUCCAAGGCUAAAUACUCCUGACUGACCGAUAGUGAACCAGUACCGUGAGGGAAAGGCGAAAAGAACCCCGGCGAGGGGAGUGAAAAAGAACCUGAAACCGUGUACGUACAAGCAGUGGGAGCACGCUUAGGCGUGUGACUGCGUACCUUUUGUAUAAUGGGUCAGCGACUUAUAUUCUGUAGCAAGGUUAACCGAAUAGGGGAGCCGAAGGGAAACCGAGUCUUAACUGGGCGUUAAGUUGCAGGGUAUAGACCCGAAACCCGGUGAUCUAGCCAUGGGCAGGUUGAAGGUUGGGUAACACUAACUGGAGGACCGAACCGACUAAUGUUGAAAAAUUAGCGGAUGACUUGUGGCUGGGGGUGAAAGGCCAAUCAAACCGGGAGAUAGCUGGUUCUCCCCGAAAGCUAUUUAGGUAGCGCCUCGUGAAUUCAUCUCCGGGGGUAGAGCACUGUUUCGGCAAGGGGGUCAUCCCGACUUACCAACCCGAUGCAAACUGCGAAUACCGGAGAAUGUUAUCACGGGAGACACACGGCGGGUGCUAACGUCCGUCGUGAAGAGGGAAACAACCCAGACCGCCAGCUAAGGUCCCAAAGUCAUGGUUAAGUGGGAAACGAUGUGGGAAGGCCCAGACAGCCAGGAUGUUGGCUUAGAAGCAGCCAUCAUUUAAAGAAAGCGUAAUAGCUCACUGGUCGAGUCGGCCUGCGCGGAAGAUGUAACGGGGCUAAACCAUGCACCGAAGCUGCGGCAGCGACACUAUGUGUUGUUGGGUAGGGGAGCGUUCUGUAAGCCUGUGAAGGUGUACUGUGAGGUAUGCUGGAGGUAUCAGAAGUGCGAAUGCUGACAUAAGUAACGAUAAAGCGGGUGAAAAGCCCGCUCGCCGGAAGACCAAGGGUUCCUGUCCAACGUUAAUCGGGGCAGGGUGAGUCGACCCCUAAGGCGAGGCCGAAAGGCGUAGUCGAUGGGAAACAGGUUAAUAUUCCUGUACUUGGUGUUACUGCGAAGGGGGGACGGAGAAGGCUAUGUUGGCCGGGCGACGGUUGUCCCGGUUUAAGCGUGUAGGCUGGUUUUCCAGGCAAAUCCGGAAAAUCAAGGCUGAGGCGUGAUGACGAGGCACUACGGUGCUGAAGCAACAAAUGCCCUGCUUCCAGGAAAAGCCUCUAAGCAUCAGGUAACAUCAAAUCGUACCCCAAACCGACACAGGUGGUCAGGUAGAGAAUACCAAGGCGCUUGAGAGAACUCGGGUGAAGGAACUAGGCAAAAUGGUGCCGUAACUUCGGGAGAAGGCACGCUGAUAUGUAGGUGAAGUCCCUCGCGGAUGGAGCUGAAAUCAGUCGAAGAUACCAGCUGGCUGCAACUGUUUAUUAAAAACACAGCACUGUGCAAACACGAAAGUGGACGUAUACGGUGUGACGCCUGCCCGGUGCCGGAAGGUUAAUUGAUGGGGUCAGCGCAAGCGAAGCUCUUGAUCGAAGCCCCGGUAAACGGCGGCCGUAACUAUAACGGUCCUAAGGUAGCGAAAUUCCUUGUCGGGUAAGUUCCGACCUGCACGAAUGGCGUAAUGAUGGCCAGGCUGUCUCCACCCGAGACUCAGUGAAAUUGAACUCGCUGUGAAGAUGCAGUGUACCCGCGGCAAGACGGAAAGACCCCGUGAACCUUUACUAUAGCUUGACACUGAACAUUGAGCCUUGAUGUGUAGGAUAGGUGGGAGGCUUUGAAGUGUGGACGCCAGUCUGCAUGGAGCCGACCUUGAAAUACCACCCUUUAAUGUUUGAUGUUCUAACGUUGACCCGUGAUCCGGGUUGCGGACAGUGUCUGGUGGGUAGUUUGACUGGGGCGGUCUCCUCCUAAAGAGUAACGGAGGAGCACGAAGGUUGGCUAAUCCUGGUCGGACAUCAGGAGGUUAGUGCAAUGGCAUAAGCCAGCUUGACUGCGAGCGUGACGGCGCGAGCAGGUGCGAAAGCAGGUCAUAGUGAUCCGGUGGUUCUGAAUGGAAGGGCCAUCGCUCAACGGAUAAAAGGUACUCCGGGGAUAACAGGCUGAUACCGCCCAAGAGUUCAUAUCGACGGCGGUGUUUGGCACCUCGAUGUCGGCUCAUCACAUCCUGGGGCUGAAGUAGGUCCCAAGGGUAUGGCUGUUCGCCAUUUAAAGUGGUACGCGAGCUGGGUUUAGAACGUCGUGAGACAGUUCGGUCCCUAUCUGCCGUGGGCGCUGGAGAACUGAGGGGGGCUGCUCCUAGUACGAGAGGACCGGAGUGGACGCAUCACUGGUGUUCGGGUUGUCAUGCCAAUGGCACUGCCCGGUAGCUAAAUGCGGAAGAGAUAAGUGCUGAAAGCAUCUAAGCACGAAACUUGCCCCGAGAUGAGUUCUCCCUGACUCCUUGAGAGUCCUGAAGGAACGUUGAAGACGACGACGUUGAUAGGCCGGGUGUGUAAGCGCAGCGAUGCGUUGAGCUAACCGGUACUAAUGAACCGUGAGGCUUAACCUUACAACGCCGAAGCUGUU
rnacentral:rRNA from 1 species